GGAGAGGUGGCAGAGCGGUUGAAUGCAACGGUCUUGAAAACCGUCGAGGAUUAACGUCCUCCGUGGGUUCGAAUCCCACCCUCUCCGCCA
rnacentral:tRNA from 3 species